CCAAUAGCGUAUAUUAAAGUUGUUGCAGUUAAAAAGCUCGUAGUUGAAUUUCGGGACCAAUCUGCCGGUCGUGCCUCUGGUACGCACUGGUUUUAUUGGUUUCUCCCUUCUGACGAACCAUAAUGUCAUUAAUUUGGUGUCAUGGGGAAUCAGGACUGUUACUUUGAAAAAAUUAGAGUGUUUAAAGCAGGCUCACGCUUGAAUACAUUAGCAUGGAAUAAUGAAAUAGGACGUUUGACCCUAUUUUGUUGGUUUCUAGGAUCGACGUAAUGAUUAAUAGGGAUAGUUGGGGGCAUUAGUAUUCAAUUGUCAGAGGUGAAAUUCUUGGAUUUAUUGAAGACUAACUACUGCGAAAGCAUUUGCCAAGGAUGUUUUCAUUAAUCAAGAACGAAAGUUAGGGGAUCGAAGACGAUCAGAUACCGUCGUAGUCUUAACCAUAAACUAUGCCGACUAGGGAUCGGAUGAUGUUAUUUUUAAUGACUCAUUCGGCGCCUUACG
rnacentral:misc_RNA from 1 species